CCGGGCCUCCGCUGACAGCCAGAGCGGACCCGAGCAGCAGGGCAGGCCUGGGCCCUACGCAGGUGUCCUGGGCUGGGAGGCAGCGCCUCCUCUCUCCCCUGCACCCCCGGCCAGGGCCCGGGAUCCUGCCUCGGCUGACCGGGGUCCAGCCCCGCACACCAAGGCCCUCCCCUCGCCCAGACCCACCGCGGGGGCGGCUUUCCGAGGGCGGCCCCGGGGCUGGGGUCCAAGGGGCCUCCGGCCGUCCUCCCGCAGGGCUCUCCCGGGGAGCCCCGGGCCCGCUGCCUCCCACCAGAGCCCUCACGGCCCGGCGAGGUCCGGGCCAAGGCGGCUGGCGUCGCACGAGGCGACCAAGUCCGGGGAGGCCCUGGGCCGAUGGCGGGGGGCUCACGUGGCUUCCUUGGGGUCCCUCAGCCCUAUCCUCUCGUCCCCAUCCGGACUCCCUUGGGCGGCCUGGGCCUCGGGCUCUGCCGCCUGACGCCGGCUCCUCGCGCGCAACCAGCUCUCAGUCGGGCUGGGACCCAGAGCCCGAGUCCGCCCACGCCGCACGCCCUGGUCACAGUCGUCGUGGUCGCGCCACCCUGCGGCCUCCACCGCCGCCCCCACCGCCGCACUCAUUCCCCUCUGGGUCCCGGCUCCCUCGCUCCUCCCUCUGGGCCUCACCUCGAAGCCCCACGAGGCUCUGCGCCCUUCCCGCGCCUGACGGGAUUCGAGGCGCGGCCGGAAGACGCCGACGCCCACGCCGACGCCCACGCCGACGCCGAGGCCCCCUCGCCACGCCCCGCCCCGCCAGUCUCUUGAGACCCGGAUACGGAAGUCCAGACACCCCGCGGGGCCUCAUUCCCACUAGGGGCUUCCCUAGGCUGCCGCUAGGGGUCGCCUUCCGGGCUGGGGCCUGCGUUCUGGGGGCCAGAGUCCCUCCCUCCGUGUUCCCUAGGUGGCCUCCUGUGCAUAUGGGUCUGGGAGUCCUCUCUGUGCUGACUUGAGGAUUCACACCUCAGAGGAAGCCAAACUGCCUUCCCAGUCCCCAGGUGGAAGUGACAAAUACUACAUUUGCCCAGACUGUCAUGGGGCUUCCAACAGCUGACAGCUAGGUUGGGUUUUUGUUGCUGGUGGAGGUCCCCUCUCUUCCGGAGUCCAGGGCCCCUUCAAG
rnacentral:lncRNA from 1 species